GAGUGGCGAACGGGUGAGUAACAUAUCGGAACGUACCGAGCAGUGGGGGAUAACUAAUCGAAAGAUUAGCUAAUACCGCAUAUAUUCUGAGGAAGAAAGCAGGGGACCUUUGGGCCUUGCGCUGUUUGAGCGGCCGAUAUCUGAUUAGCUGGUUGGUGGGGUAAAGGCCUACCAAGGCGACGAUCAGUAGCGGGUCUGAGAGGAUGAUCCGCCACACUGGGACUGAGACACGGCCCAGACUCCUACGGGAGGCAGCAGUGGGGAAUUUUGGACAAUGGGGGCAACCCUGAUCCAGCCAUGCCGCGUGUCUGAAGAAGGCCUUCGGGUUGUAAAGGACUUUUGUUCGGGAAGAAAAGCGCGAUGUUAAUACCAUUGCGUGCUGACGGUACCGGAAGAAUAAGCACCGGCUAACUACGUGCCAGCAGCCGCGGUAAUA
rnacentral:ncRNA from 1 species